AUCCACAGUAAAGAGAUCCGCUUUUUCUCUCCUCCUCCUCCUCCUACUCAUCCACCACCAUCUUUGAGAUAAAACACUGGCUUUAGGUCCCCAGCAGCAGCAGCAGCAGAGGGCUGGCGCUGCAGUUGCGCUGGCACACAUUCAACGUGGGUGCACACAUUGAGUGAGAGAGACCCGCCGCAUCUUGUGGAUUUCUUUGCGUACAAGCCCGUGUACAUGGUUCUCCCUGCGUUUCCUCUGCCACAUCCAGACCAGGAGUUGAUUUCAGUUCUCGGAGAAAAAUGUGGCUUCGCACAAUAGCGACAGUCCUUGUUUUAUUGUAUUUUUGGGGGGACUCGCUGGCAGGGUUUCCAAAUCAGAUCAACAUUGGUGGACUGUUCAUGCGCUCUACAGUGCAGGAGCACAGCGCCUUCAGGUUUGCUGUCCAGCUGUAUAACACCAACCAGAAUGUGACGGAGAAACCCUUCCACCUCAAUUACAAUGUUGACAACCUGGAGUCCUCCAACAGUUUCUCUGUCACACACGCCUUCUGCUCCCAGUUCUCCCGAGGAGUUUACGCCAUCUUCGGCUUCUACGACAGGAAGUCCAUGAACACGCUGACCUCCUUCUGCGGGGCGCUGCACACCUCCUUCAUUACGCCCAGCUUCCCCAUCGAUGCUGACGUGCAGUUUGUCAUCCAGAUGAGGCCGAGUUUGCGAGGAGCUGUUCUCAGUCUGCUGGACCAUUAUAAGUGGGAGAAGUUUGUCUACCUUUACGACACUGACAGAGGUUUUGCAAUCCUCCAGGCCAUCAUGGAGUCGGCUGUAGCCAAUAACUGGCAGGUGACAGCUCGCUCGGUCGGGAACAUUGUGGACCCCACAGAGUACAGACGCAUCAUCGAGGAAAUGGACCGCCGGCAGGAGAAACGCUUUCUCAUUGACUGCGAGGUGGACAGGAUCAACUCCAUACUGGAGCAGGUGGUGACCUCGGGAAAAAACAGCAGAGGAUACCACUAUAUCCUUGCCAACCUGGGUUUUUCCAACAUGAGCCUGGACAGGGUCUUUUCUGGUGGAGCCAACAUCACAGGCUUUCAGAUCAUCAACCCAGACAGCCCCAUCGUCCAGCAGUUCCUCCAGCGUUGGGAGCGCCUGGAUGAAAGAGAAUUUCCAGAAGCCAAAAACACACCACUGAAGUACACAUCAGCACUGACCCACGAUGCCAUUCUUGUGAUUGCGGAGGCCUUCCGGUACCUUCGGCGCCAGCGAGUGGACGUGUCUCGCAGGGGGAGUGCCGGCGACUGCCUUGCCAACCCUGCUGUGCCCUGGAGCCAAGGCAUUGACAUAGAGAGAGCCCUGAAAAUGGUCCAAAUACCAGGUAUGACAGGAAACAUCCAGUUUGACACAUUUGGUCGACGAUCUAAUUACACAAUUGAUGUGUACGAGAUGAAGACAGGAGGCCCAAGGAAGAUCGGCUACUGGAAUGAGUACGAAAAAUUUGUAUAUAUUAUGGAUCAGCAGGUCACCAACGAGUCCUCUUCUGUGGAAAACCGAACAAUUGUGGUCACUACUAUUAUGGAAGCUCCGUAUGUGAUGUACAAGAAAAACUAUAUGCAGAUGGAUGGGAAUGACAGAUAUGAAGGCUACUGUGUCGAUUUAGCUUCUGAAAUUGCAAAACAUGUGGGGAUAAGAUAUAAACUGUCAGUAGUUCCCGAUGGGAAGUACGGAGCCAGAGAUCCAGAGACCAAGACGUGGAAUGGGAUGGUGGGUGAACUGGUUUAUGGGAGAGCUGACAUAGCCGUGGCUCCUCUAACUAUAACGUUGGUACGGGAAGAAGUGAUAGACUUCUCUAAGCCCUUUAUGAGCUUGGGCAUCUCCAUUAUGAUUAAGAAGCCUCAAAAGUCCAAGCCUGGGGUGUUUUCCUUCCUGGACCCACUGGCCUAUGAGAUUUGGAUGUGUAUAGUUUUUGCCUAUAUCGGCGUGAGUGUGGUGCUCUUCCUGGUGAGCCGCUUCAGCCCUUACGAGUGGCACUUGGACGAGAAUGAUGAGGUCAAAGACCCUCAGAGCCCCCCAGACCCGCCAAACGACUUUGGGAUUUUUAAUAGCCUGUGGUUCUCCCUGGGUGCCUUCAUGCAGCAAGGAUGCGAUAUCUCACCAAGGUCUCUGUCCGGGCGUAUCGUCGGAGGAGUGUGGUGGUUCUUCACCCUCAUCAUCAUCUCCUCCUACACGGCUAACCUGGCUGCCUUCCUCACCGUGGAGAGAAUGGUUUCUCCCAUCGAGAGUGCAGAGGACCUGGCCAAGCAGACAGAGAUUGCCUAUGGGACGUUAGACUCAGGCUCCACGAAGGAGUUCUUUAGGCGCUCCAAAAUAGCAGUUUAUGAGAAAAUGUGGUCAUACAUGAAAUCAGCCGAACCCUCAGUCUUUGCCAAGACAACGCCAGAUGGGGUUUCUCGAGUACGAAAGUCGAAGGGAAAGUUUGCCUUUCUUCUCGAAUCCACCAUGAACGAGUACAUAGAGCAGCGGAAGCCAUGUGACACCAUGAAAGUGGGCGGCAACCUCGACUCAAAGGGCUAUGGCGUGGCUACACCUAAAGGCUCUGCAUUAAGAAAUGCUGUUAACCUGGCAGUGUUAAAACUGAAUGAGCAAGGCCUCUUGGACAAAUUGAAAAACAAAUGGUGGUACGACAAGGGAGAGUGCGGCAGCGGGGGAGGUGACUCUAAGGUCAGCCUCAAUGUCACCAAAGUCGGGUAUCCUAGAACAGAGUAAUCGGCAAGGCUGUCGUCACUGACUUUAGUCUUUGGGCAGAAAAUAUCUGUUUGUUUUUCCAUUUUUAUAGUGUAACUGUGAUCAACUGGGAACCCUUUACUUGGCUAAUGGAGGGAAAAAAAGCCCAAUGAUGUGAAACCAACCAAAGUACAGAAGAAGGACAGAAGAAGAUCCGAAAACUAAUUAUUAAGUGUUUGAUUUUAUAUUGACAAAGUAGUUGUUUCUAUGCUUUUGGCCUGUAGUUAUGAAAGACAGAAACCAUCUUUCCCUGUUUUUUUAUAUCUACAGGCCAACAUGAAAGCUUUGUAUCUUUAAAUGUAGCAUUCAGACUAAUGCCAGAAGGAUUAAAGCGAAGAUCAAAUCUCAUUUCACAAUCAAUAUAUGCACUCUCCAAUCUGCCGCCUGGGUGUUAGGGCAGGCACGGGGGACAGCGUUGUCUUGAGGGGACUAAGCAUCGCAGGCAAACGUGAGAAUUCUAAUGACAGAGUGACAACUAACGGUCCAAACCUUUUUGUCCAACAUCCUCUCACCAAAAUCCAGCGUAAGACUGACAGAAACCUUUGGUUGGUCUUGACCCAAGGCCAGUCAAAGUCUAUCCAUGGCCACCCUGACCUGGUAAACCCUGCAGUAGUAGAGUCUAAGAUAUGACCAGGGGCCCCAUUUGUACAAGUAGAUUUGAUCUGAAUCUCACAUUCAGAUAAUUUUUCAUAAUGAGCAUAAAGUUGAUGUACAAAUACACAAAGAUAUACAAAUGAGUGAAGAAGCAUUCAAAUCUUAAGGUGAGACUAUGCAACUUUUUGAUAAACAGUGGCCAUUGUGGCCACACAUGGCAAUUACAGGACAAUGGCACAUUGAAUUUUCUGGUGAGUUUACUUCUUGUUUUAAUUUUGUGAUGGAACCACUUAAAUGUUUAUCUUUGAGAUGCUAAAACAUAGUGUGUCAGUAGCACAAGUAGAGAAGAGUCAUACAGUCAGUCACAAUAUCUGCACUUUAAAAUUAGCUAACAGUAGAAGAAUCAGAUUCAGAUUUAUUGGCCAGUAUGUGUACACGCACAAGGAUUUUGAGUUAAGAAAAGCGGUUUUAUUUUAAGGUGGUCUAGAUUUACUCGCAUCUAGAACAAUUUACAGGAAAAUAGAAAUAGACAUACAGCUAAUACAAAUACAACAAAGCUGUACAAAGAGGUUGAACUAUUAUUUACACACAAGUUGGUAAAAAAUACGUUUAUAUACAAAAAAUAUAUAAGGAAGUUAGCAAAUGUUAGCCACUAUUAGCUACUGGUCAUAGCAGGUCAUGAAAGACUGUAGCAGCAAACUGAAUACUAAAGCAGGGCUGAGAUUUAUUGCUUCUUAAUUUAUUUGUAAGAUGAAGAAUGUGUUAGUUCUUCAUUGAAAAGUACACAGUCUCACUUUUGUAGAGCUGUGCAGCAUGCUCAGCACUGCAGAAGAGCUGGGAUCUUUCUUUCUGAUGAGGAUUUUUUUUUUCAAUCAAAUCUGUUGUACAACCUUUCUUUAAAUGAGGCCCCUGAUCUUGUGUUUCAGACGCCAGGGCGCAGUAAGAGCCCGACUGUCUGUCUCUGCUCUUCAGCUUUCAUCUUGACCACAGUACACUUGGUUGGCAUAAUGUGAGAGAAGAGACAAAGCAAACUUUGCUGUUAUUGACUCGAGUCAUCCAUUCCUGAGUGAGCAGGAUAUGGAUACUACCAGUGGGAUAACACAAAGAAGCCGUCUCCUCUCGCUGGCAAUUUGCCUCGACCCCUCAGAUUAGAAAAGAGAGUAGAUGAUCAGUGUAACACUAUCACAUCAGACUGCCACAUUUCUUUGUCCUUAUUUCACUUUCAGAAAUGCAUGUGUGGGUAAUUUAACAAGGAGAAGAAAAUAUGUUGUAUGUAACUACCACUGGUAAAAUACACGCCAAAACAUCACAACAUCAAUGAAAUAUUGCCAUUCGGCUGCUGAAGUUAAAUUCAGCAUUUACCUUUAUAUAUACUAGAAAUCAAUAGAGAUACUUUACUGUUUUUAUUUUUACAUGCUCACAUGAACCAAACAAAACUUGAGACAGAAUGUUAAAUCACAUUUUACAUCCUUAUAGGUAGUUUGUAGUUUAUACUGUGUAAUGUUCAUUUAAUUUGACAUCAUACAGUAUGUGAUCCAUUUGGCCAUGAGAGUCAGUACUGUGCAUGGGUUUUUAAUGUUUGUUAUUCUGUGUGCUCAUGAAUUUUUUUUUAGAUACUGGUUUCUUGUUUUGCAGACAGACUGAAGGGUAAAGUUCUGAUGUGACUUGAAUCAGAGGGAGCGGAGGUUAAGUCCAACUGACUCAGACAGGUACAGGGGGUGGACACAAUAAAAGGAACACCCGUACAAUGUAUCGAAUCCAAUACAACAAUAAAUACUAUCUUUGUGAAGCUUGUAGGUCUCAUAAGAUGUGAGGUAAUAAUACAACAACACAAGCUAUGACCCCCAAAAUUACUAUAGAGGUGAAUCAAUACCACUCUGACAUAGCCUCAACAUGAAUUAUUAAACUUCACAAAUGUAAGAUUUAUAGCACUAGCUGUUGCACUGCAUUGCAAUAGAUUGCACAGGUGUUCAUGAUAUUCUGUCCACCCCCUGUACUUAAUCCGACGGUUGGAUUCAUACUCCUUUUAACACAAAAAUGUUAUUAAAGUUUGAGAUGCUGGCAACAACCAGCCUGAGAAAAAACAAUUAGGUUUAAAGCAAUAGAAAUCACAUUUCAUAAUGUAAAAGUGUUUUUAAAGUGUUCAAAAUGAGUAACAUUAAAACAUUUCCCUCGUGCCCUCUGAGGAGCUUUAGUCCUCGAGAGAAUCAAGGUACUUUAGAUUGUUAGAGGCAGAUACAUCUCUUUGCUUUCAGGAGAAAAAUCACAUUAUUUAAAGGCAGAUUUAAAUGAAAUGUGACCUGUCAACUGAAUGCAAAAUUAACGAGCCUUUACAUAAUCAGUCACCAGAGAGAAUGCAGAAGUGAGAGAAGACAGAGGAUCUGUUGUAUUCUGGUGCUGGUGACUAAUAUUUAUAUAACAUAAAAUGUGUGUGUUUUUAUGUUUUUAUGUCUUGAACAGUGACUAUAGUAUAAUACAUUAUACUUACUAAUUAUGAUUUUUAAUAUUUAAUAUUAAGAUUUGAGUUAAAGCUACAUUUUUAAGAUGUAGGCAUUCAGAAGGAGGCACUGAAUUAUUUUCAGUGAAACAGAUUCAAGAUCAGAGCAAAAAGGUUUGUCACAUGCUCAUAUAUGUGCAGUGAAAUGCACGGUGGAAAAAUAAGAAUUAAAAAAGGAAACAUGAAAGAUAAGAAGAAUAAAUAUACAUAUAAAUGUAUACAUUUUAAAAUGCGCAAGUGCAUAGUGGCCCGGUGAGUAGGUGGGCUGUGCAAUGUUUCAAUAUCUAAAAAAACAAUAAUUAGUUUACAAUAAUUGAAUUAAUCAUUUAUUAAUACAUAUAUUUGUAUGUAUUUAUAUUUAUAUAUUUGAUUUAAAUUUUUUAUGCAUUUAUUGUUUGAUUAAUAUAAAAUAAUUUGUUCUUGGCAAAAACUAUAAAACCUAUGAACCAUAGAAAACAGAAAUGAGGCUUACAGUAAAUUGUCUUGGCAAGCGCAUAUAUGCUGUAUGUGACUUCCAGUACUUCCAGUAUAACGUAGAUUUUGCUCAGUGGGCCUAAUUCAACAGUUCAGUUUUAGUGUUACUGCAUCUCAUAACUUGUUUUUGCUCGCUACAUUUCAUAAUAUGUUGUAUUUGUAAAAAGGUGCUGUAGCAAUUCAAAUAGUAGCCGUAGCGACAGUGCAUUAUUAUAAUUCUUGGUUUUUGCUUUCUUUUGAGUUCAGAUCCUGGUAAAUGUGAGUCAAGCCAGGGCUGAUAAAUCACCUGUUUGUUUUUAUCUGUUUGAGUUCACUUUCCGCAGAGCUGUGAACUGAUAUUACAUCAGAGGUUUGGGACAGCUCACAGUGCUUUUCUCUUUGACAGUAAAUGUCAUGUGGAGUCAUUCACCUUUACAGACCACACUGCAACUGGCGACAGAGCAAAAUUAGUUUAAUGCUGUGAUUUUGUGUCCCUGGGGCAAAAAAAAAUACAAACCCAAGGUGCUUAGGGAGUCGGAAAGGAAACGGAUGUCAUUUUUUCCUUUUUCUCUCCACUACCCACAUUGUUUGUCUUGAACAAGUGGCCCUUUUCACCUCUGAAGUCCCUUUGAUUUCUCUGUAAGGCUCCAGCAGGGAUGAUGACUGUUAUUUAGAGCUGCACCCUUUGAAUUAUGAUGUAAAAUCUUUUAUGACUAAAUGUAAUUUCAUCCACAUUCAAUUAUCAGUUAAGUCCAGAAGUUCCCAGUGUAAAACGUGUGCUUCCUAUUGCUAUAAUCUGUUUCUAUCCGUAGAAUUACAGUAUAUGAAUAUAGAAUUACAGUAUACUGAUAAUGAUUAAACUUAACUUUUUAUUGAGGUUUUUCACAUAAGAAAAUAUACAGCGAAAUAUUUUAACAUGUGAACCUGGAACGUGCACUUCAAAUAUUAUUUAAAAGUCCAUGGCCACCACCUGGUGGUGUGUCCGAGCCCUGGGUCUUCAUCUGAUGACAAGCAGAUUGUUGCAGUUCACCCAUUUUGUUUGCUUGGAGCUGAAAAAAAUGUAGAUUUAUAAUUAAUAACAAGAGAAAAGGCAAGUCAGUAGAGUCAGAGUAGAUCAUCCUAUCGCAAUUCUGUGGGACAGGGUCAUGACCUUAAUUAGCUGUAGUUGUUUUUAUGUGACUAAAAGUUCUUAAAUGGAGGAAUCAAAGUGCAGGAAUGUAAAUUUGACACCGAAUCAGUUACUGUAGCCACACUUUAUUGUAAUGAAUGUGAUAUUCCAAGAACACAGUUAAAAUGAAAAAUUGUAAAUUUUUAGCCAAAUCAUCCUCAUUGUGUCUCUAAAAAGCAUCAAAAGACCUCAGAGCUUAAGCAUUCAGAAUGUGUCAUUGUACAAAUAAUGCCAUUACAGAUCACCGUAUGUAGGAUCUUCACUGCAUCUAAAUUGAUUUAUAAAGUGUAACAACCACUUAGUUUAAAGUCCGUGUUCGAAUGUUUCUCUGCCCCUCUGCCAACAAAAGACAUAAAGUAGUGAAACAGAUGAGUCUGCAUCAGAGGAAAAAAAAAAAAAACGAUUUAGAAUUUGGCCCGCUGGCGUGAUUGUUGGUGCAGGAGUGUCAAUUCUAGUUUGUUGUUGCAUUUGAAUUCAUGUAUCCAAGUUGCUAUUUGUCCUUGUCAUCAUAACUUGCCUUUCAAAGAGCUCUGACUGGAGAACAGGACUGCAGGCCAUCCACUUAACAUCAUGCAUGCAUUCUUUGAUUCAUUUAUUUUUGUAUAAAUAAUCAGAAAACAUUCCUUCUAUGUAUUCACUUUAACAAAGAAUACAGUGGUGAAUACAAUAUAUUUAAUAAUGUUGGAUUACAAACACUGAUCUUUUUUCUGAAAGGAAAUAAGCCUGGAAAUCUGUCAGUCAAGGAAAUCAAGCACAAUGUCUUGCAAAACAAAACCCCCAAACUAUGACUCUUCUCAUCAGGGAUGUGGUGUCUUUAGAGACUCCUUCAACUCAUUUUCCUUGACCUCAACUGGUUGGUAAUGAUUCAAAAACAUAAACUCAGAUCACUUCCGAUUUGAUUCAUACGUUUGGAAGCAGGCCUAUAAAUCAACACGUCUGCUCUUCUGAUUGGCACAGAUGUUUCUCCGUGUGGGAACACAGAUUUAGAGGGGUGAUUUUGUGAGACAUUAGCCUCUAAUAACUGUCAUUGAAAUUGAACUGCUGUGUUUUGUCUGUUAGUCAAGAAAGGGUUCCUGUUAGAUCCACCUUGCUAAACAUCAAAAAGGCUGCCCAUAGCAACAAAAAAAAGUGCCCUCAGCAAUUACUACCUCUGUUUUCUUUCAUUCUGUUAAAGCUAUGCAGCAGCUGCUUUAUUCUGCAAGUUCAAAUCUUUUCUCUUCAUUGUGAUCAGUGUGUGCCGAUUACUCAAAGCGAUAUAGGUGGGGUCUGGCAUGCUAGGGUAGUCAUGGAUUAUGAAAGAUCAUAUAUUUAUAUAUAUACAUAUAUACUGUAGUGUUGCUUGCUAUCUGUGAUGUGUUGGCCAGGACCCUACUCUAUCGCUUUGCACAGUAUAAAGUAGUUAAAAAAGUUGAAUAACAUAAAAUAACAUAAUAUAAUGUUAUUUAUGUUAUUUCCCACGUGAAGAACUCCUGUAAACCUUGCAGUAUUGAAACUCAGUGAACAAGGCAUCUUAGACAAGCUGAAAAACAAAUGGUGGUACGAUAAGGGUGAAUGUGGAACCAAGGACUCUGGAAGUAAGGACAAGACAAGUGCACUAAGCCUGAGCAACGUG